UAGCCGUAAACGAUACUCGCUAGGUGUCGGCCACGGUGCGACCGUUGUCGAUGCCGUAGGGAAGCCGUGAAGCGAGCCACCUGGGAAGUACGGCCGCAAGGCUGAAACUUAAAGGAAUUGGCGGGGGAGCACAUCAACGGGUGGAGCUUGCGGUUUAAUUUGGACUCAACGCCGGGAAGCUCACCGGAUAAGACAGCGGAAUGAUUGCCGGGCUGAAGACUCUGCAUGACUAGCUGAGAGGAGGUGCAUGGCGUAGACGUCU
rnacentral:rRNA from 1 species